rnacentral:tRNA from 1 species
GCCCCGAUGGCGGAACAGGAAGACGCGCCGGUCUCAGACACCGGUCGCCGACGGCGGUGGGGGUUCGACUCCCUCUCGGGGCA